rnacentral:rRNA from 1 species
UACGUAGGGUGCAAGCGUUGUCCGGAAUUAUUGGGCGUAAAGAGCUCGUAGGCGGUCUGUCGCGUCUGCUGUGAAAACUCGGGGCUUAACCCCGGGCCUGCAGUUGAUACGGGCAGGCUAGAGUUCGGUAGGGGAGACUGGAAUUCCUGGUGUAGCGGUGAAAUGCGCAGAUAUCAGGAGGAACACCGGUGGCGAAGGCGGGUCUCUGGGCCGAUACUGACGCUGAGGAGCGAAAGCGUGGGGAGCGAACAGG